CUUCAGAGUUGGUGGUGUAAGUUUAAGGAACAAUGGAUGAUUGAGGGAAUUUAGACCAGGUGCUAGGGGAAACUAUUCUCUCCACAACCCUGGCUCUGUUCCUGCCAAAAUUCAGCCUGCUGUAAGUCUGGUAGGGCUCUAGCAUGGUUUCUAAAUUAACAAGUGCACAGUGUAGGUAGCAUUAAGAACACUAGCCUCUAUAGUUGAAUAUCUUCAAGAGAUUCCUGGGAGGGCAACAGAGGGCCACAGAACUAAGACUGACCCUCCAAAAUGAGUUAACAUUUAUGUCAGUCAAAAAUGGCACAAGUAUGAAGAUGCAAUUAUCCAAGAAAUAGGACACAUGUGUCUCUUGUUAUUUGCGGGUAUUAUCUAGACCUGUAUGUUGAAGACACUCAGUGAUAAAUUCAGUAACAUUCACCUCAUUGUGACCCAAACUGAGACUUCAGAUGGGAUCCUGUUGAAAUUAAAUCCUCCCCAAAAGAGGAUUUGCACAUCAAGAAGUGUGUGUUUGUGUAGGGUAGGAUGGUGUGUACAUUGCACUAAGCAAGGCAAGCAGUCUUAUCACUCAAAAGUGACAUGGUGAAGAGAAUCCAUAAGGAGGUAAUGGGCCACUACUAAUAAGUGAAAAUAAAUUCUACGUCUUCUGUUGUUUUGUGGCAAAAAUGAUUUAUGAAACUAAUACACCUUUCAUUUUUAAUGUCUGAGUUUCUCAGCACCUCACCUCCCCAACUCUCUAUUACCUGGAUAUAUUAUGAUGACAACCUUAUACAGAAACUCAUUUAUCUUAUGCUAUUUCUACCAUAUUAUUGCAAUUUUAAAAAUUUCCUUAAGGUUAGGAGCAACAUCCUGGGUAGAAAUGCAUCUAUUUGCCUUCAUAAUAGCCAGCAGGAAUGCACCUCUACCUGCCGCAUCUGAUCUGUCCAGCUCUUGAAGGCAUUGUUCUAUAUGGAUCCCAAAGCAUACACAGCUCACGAACCUGCAAAAUGCAGCGUCGACCUGACAAUUAAAGUGAGGUUUCAAACACUGUCACCAAAUCGAAGCACGUCAUGUAGCCACACCAGCAACGUUUUCAGGACAGAAAUAUCAAAAGAAGCUACACAGCAAGUAAAUGUAACCGAUAGAUGGCACCUACCAUUGACACCCUAAACCAUAUUGGAUUCCAGGACCUGUAAACGGUGCCACUGGCUUAAACCAAUUGGGUAGGGUGAACUGAAUGAGUCCCAUCAGCAGAAUCUCUGUAAAGGAUUUGCACAAUGGGACUUUCCCCUGUCUCCCCACCCACACACCCACUGAAAUUGUAUUGGGGGUGGAAGAACCCACAGAACAGUGUGCAGAGGGUGGGGACCUUUCUAUCUGCGAAGCUGAAAUCCUUGCACUGGUGGAAUGUUCACCUGAACUUCUCCCAUUGAGUAUGGGCAAACUGGCCUAUACAAGAUGAAAGACAAUGCAGUGAUAGGUUAACCAGUGCUGUUGUAACAUCUUUACUUUCAGCAUCUCAGCAGUGUUAUAAACCAGCACAUUUGUUGUUAGUGCAAUUAUUUUGGCUCGUUGCUGUUUUGUCAUCAGAUGGGGAAUAUGCUUUGCUUUCUCUUGACUUUAUCCAAAAAGUUUGAUUAAUUUUCCUGCUGCUCUCAGUAGGUUUCUGUUUCAUUGGUAGAACACUAUGGGCUCUCUUCUCCACCUCAUUUAUCACCUAUGCAAACUCUAGGAUAUUAAUCAAAUACUGGACAACAUGGAGAGAAACUAUUUUUUCUCUUUCCCCCCUAUGAAAUCUUCAAAAUACAAGGAAAUUCAUACCCUGUAGGGAUAAUUGAUAUUAUAAAUAGGCUUUAUUUCUUGCCAUAGUGUUCCAGAUGGUUACACUUUUCUCUCUUUGAAUACUUUCUUAUUGACACAAAUUCAAGAAACUUAGGAGAGAAGAUGAAGAAGGAGGAUGCCACCCAUAUGGAGAUCUGGAUAUUUCCUGUUUAGAAUGUGUGGUCUAAAUAGACAACAGCAAAUGGUGGCGUCUUAGGGUUGUCAUAUGUCCUCUUUUUCCUGGACACGUCCUCUUUUUCAUGGGUAUGUAAAAUGAGAGUCGUGAUAGCGAUCCAUAAUUAAAAGUAGAAGUCGGCAAAUGUGUCCUCUUUUUUGCUCUUCAAAAUCUGGCAACCCUAUGGGGAGGACACAUUGACCUCACAUUUCAGGGGGAUAGUUCCCAAAUUUGCCAUAUCAUUCAGCCCCCAGAGAGAGGCGACAUACACGUCUAACAUUUAGUAAAUAUUGUAAAUUGGUUCACCUAUAGUUCAUUGCAUUUGCCACACAAAAACAGACAAACAGCUUAGGUGCAGUUCCACAUAAAAAGCAAUUUGUGUGCACCAGCUCCUCACAAAGGUCUGGCGAUCUGCUAAAUAAUGGCAGUGCAACAUGUUAGUAUGGAACAGCUGUAAUCUGCUGAUGGAUAGCAACUAGUUCUUUUUAUGUAUGUGACCCAUUCCAAAAGAUGCUUGGCACAUGAAAUAGCAUCCACAUAGACAACAAUCACAUCAAAGCACAAUUCCCAGGAAUAGAGCCAGCGUCAUCAAAGCCAGCAUAUGAUCCAAUGCAUCAACAGUGGCAUAAUACAGUUUUAAUGGAUAAAAGAAGAAAAUGCUGAUUGCGUAGAAACUACCUUGGAGAUAUUGUGUACAUCAGCCUUUACUGUAUUUUAUAUUGUAGUAUAGCAACAACUGGCGUUCACACGGUAGCUUACUCCAUUGCCCCAAUAUUUCUGCAUUAUAUUUUAGUUUCCACGUGAUGUCACUUCUGGAAAUAUAGUGAAACAUAGCAUAAGUUCAGCAUUCAUUUCUGUGUUAUUUGCUUUCAGAAAAUAUCUGUUUGCAAAUAUCAUGGAAAUGAGUGCUAGACUUGCACUAUGUCUACUGUAAAGUGGCUUUUAUGUCACGUGAAAGCUCAAGUAUAACAAUGCAGAAAUGAACAGUUAGGGAAAUGUCAGGGAAAUGGAAAAAGCUGUCGUGUGAAUGCAGCCUAGCGGAAUCUGCAACAAAACAUUGAACCACAUCCUCACCUCUUAGCAGGAGUACUCAAAUUCUAGGUUCCUUUCAGGUAGCCAUAUCCCUCUCCAGGAUUCCCAAUUACAAUACUGCCCCACCUCCCAAAAAUCUCCCUCCCCUGACAUUUAACAUUCCACAGCUACUAAGCAUGCACUGUUGUAGUAGGGAUUGCUCCUUUAAGGUUGUGGUUUGGCAAAAUCCUACUUCUGCAAACCUUGUUCUCCCCCCAAGUCUACUGAUAGCUCUUUCUUGUUUUUCAGCCACCCCAUUUGGUGACGUAGUCAUUGGUAUUCACUGCCUGAGUUCGCAAUUAGAGAAAGGGUUGAAACUUAAGAAUGCCGCUUGUAUCUGGAAGGCCAUAUUAGGUUGCGAAAGAGGAAGAUUUUUCUGCUGCUGUACUUUGUAUGAUUUGCAGAUGGAUGUACUGCAGAUGUGAGUCAACUCCCCCCCCCCAUACCGAGACAGCUCAUUAAAUUUCAUUAUUAGUCUUCAGCUGCUGUGGAUUUGAAACUUUAAACAAUAUGGUGUUUUGCAAAUGCUCUCCCUGAAAAUAAGGAAACAAUCUAUUUUAUUCUUCACCUCAAGUAACAUCAUACCCGUUUGAACUCACACCUUUUGCUCUUCUGCAGAGUAUUUCGCUGUUUACAGGGUUCAGUUUGCAUUAUAUUCUUGCCUUCAUUAAAGAUGCCAGAUCCUCGUCAUCUUCUACUUCUUUUUUUGGCUAUUCAAAACAAGAAAAUAAAUAAAAAUACAGUUAUUUAUAAUUCAUGGUAUAAUACAGUCUAUUUUCGGCAAUUCUAGUGAUGGUGCGAUAUCUCAGGCUGUGUAGGAUUGUAAUUUCACAGAGUAAUAAACCAUCUUGAUCAAUAGGAAAGGGAUACAUAGGUCAUGCCUACAAAAGCCAGUGCAUGGUUUACAAUCUAUCACAUCAGUAUUGAAUGGAUUGCUAGACUGUUUUUAUGAGAUAUUAUUAUUUUAAGAGCAUUGAAAUGCUUUGAGAUGUCAUUUUUGUUUGCAUUUGCUGCUGGUUGUAAAACCACCGCCACCACCUUUUAUUGACAUUGGAUUAGAUAUAUACCGCUGUUCUACUGCUGCUAUUAUGAAUUGUCUAUUGUGAUUGUCAAUUUUGCUAUGUAUUGCUGUUCGCAUUGCCAGCGUAAGCCUCUGUUCACAAACUUUUCAAUGGAACAAUGGCAUACUAAUAAAAACUGAUGAUCAUGGUGAUUAUGAUGAUAAUAGUAGUAAUAAUAUGGGUAAGUUACCUAAGGGAUCUUCAUAAUGCCUCACAUUACAUUUUGUAUUUUAGAUCAAACACUUGUGUAACUGGUAUUCUGCAACCCAAGUCUUUUACCAUUAUUCACUCAUAUCGGGUUUCCCACACACAACUGAUCGACAGCCGUCACCUGAAAGCUGAUCACACAUGCAGGAGAACAUCACUUCCAGGACUGUACCACAUGGUAUGGCAUUAUUUCCAAGUGGCAAAUGAUUCUGCAGAGGGAUGUGUGUCCCAGCUGCAUCAAAUGAAUUUUAUUCAUUCAUUUAUUAAAUUUACUGCUCACAUUUUCCUGCCAAAGGCAACUCAAAGUGACUUACAGACAAACAAGCAAACAAAAACUCACACAGACUUUAGCUAAUGGGGCCAACUGCUGCCGCCGUGCAAUUUUUGUUCUCACCCUGAAGCAAAGUUCUUAACCCGAGGUACUAUUUCUGGGUUAGUGGAGUCUGUAACCUGAAGUGUAUGUAACCCGAGGUACCACUGUAUUAAAAACAUCCCAUCAACCUACUGUUACUGAAAGUGGGUGUGGACAUUAAAUUCCAACUGUAUGCGUAUGGCUAGAUUUCAUCUAUUUCCCCCAUUCCUAAGAUAUUGAUUGAUUGCACUUAUAUCUCACCUUUUUCUCCAGGGACCUCAAAGCAGCACACAUGUGAUAAGAGAUUGUGUCUUGUCUAAAGCCAUCAAGUAAUCUGAUAAAAAAAAAAGAAAUGGGGAUAAUGAGAUUAACAGAUCAAAUAUCUUCCAUUUCAUGCCUUUUUUAGGAACUGACCUAUCAAAAUUUUGAAGUUUUAUUCUCUCUCUCCUUAUCUAAAUAGGAUGGUUUUCUGCUUUUGGUAGUCAACUCAGAAUGUGGCUGGGGUCUGCUGUUAAGUGUCAAACAUAUGCAAAACCUGAAGUGGCCCUCCCCCCCCCCCCAGCAAUAAGUUACACACUCCAUUUCUUUACAUUUCAAAUUUCCUGUGUAUUGUGAUAUGAUGUGCGAGGUAUUACUGCAUCAUUCUUGAUCGUAUUACCAUGCGACAUAUAUUUCAGUGCAUCCGUUUGAAAAAUAUGCAUGGGGAUAAGAAGAUAAAAUGACACAAAAUACAUUUCACAGCGGUAUUUUGAUUAAACAACCUAGCCUGGUAAUUAAAUGCCCCUAAAAAAAGAAUGGGAAUAUUAAGUGUGACCUAUUCCUGUGUUGAUCCCAGCCAAACAAUAUCUCAGAUGGAGAAAUGAAUAUUUUGGGGUUAUCUCUUUCAUGGGCUUGGAUCUUACUUUUCUUUCCAUGGACAAAGCAAUGUUCAUGCUCUCCCCCUUUCCUCUGCAGGUCCUACAUACAAACCCAAACAAAACUCUGAGAUAAUGGAAUCUUUGGGAAUGGCAUAAGAUAUUGCAGGGAGCUGCAGAUGGAGCAGGGAGAGAAUUGGUGCAAAUUGCUGCCCUUUUAUGAAUGGAAUAGCAGUUUAAGAGCUAAGCCAACAUGUCUUUCUGAUAUGGAUAGCUUGUUAACCCUGCUUCCAAUGGGAAAUUUGCAAGGAUCAGUCCAAAACUAUGCAGCCUCAGUUGCCAGGUAGGACAGGUUGCAGCCAAAAUUGCCAGGUAGCAUAGGUGAUGUAUGAAUCUCAACUCUAUUUUAAUAGUCUUUGACCUCCAAUUUCACACAUAGCACAGUCACAAUGGUUGGAUCACUACAGAACAAAAGGGAGGAGACUCACAUGACUGAAUAUUCCUCCAUACAAAACCUCCCUACACACACAAAAUCGUAUGUUGCAUCUCUGCACUUACUCCCCUCACAGCAAAGGUGUCAAUUUUCUAUGUUCUUGAAGACCAUUCAAGUUAGGUAUCCAGGGACAGACCUUGUCACUGCGACAGGUAGCCAAGAAUCUGGAACACAGCUACAGCUACAUGCAUAUGUCUGGGAAAGCGCUUAGGCAUUUGGAAGGAGAUUCCAUGACCUUUCUAUAUUUUUCUAGAUUCAGGUCUUAAACUCAUAGCUAUCAUUGUAAUAUAAAAUAAGUACAUCUCGUUGCCAUUUACUGUUCAUUUACCUGCAGUGUUGGAAGUUAGCCCUCUGUCCAAUGAUACCUCCUUACAACAGGGUAAAUGUCAGUCACGUUAAUGAGACUAAUCACGAUCACUUUUAAUUGUGUUCCAGCUUGCAGGAAUUUAAAAUGAGCCACUUCCCCUGCCACUUUCUUCAGCAGUCCAAGGCCUUUGAAAACAUAGCUCAAAACUGAAUUAUGGUCAUUGUUGUAAUGGUUGUAAUAAUUGCAUAAAAUCGGAUACUUUAAGUUAGACAGAUACUGAAUUAAUCUUUCCAAGAAUGAGAACAGAUCAAUCUAAGGUUGUUCAUGAGCUAUCAGCUGUGUUCAACUGAUCCUCAUGAUAUAUCCAAAACACUUGUGGAUGGUGAAGAAAGCCCUGCAGUCUUCGUCUGUAAAAACUUCAUUGCUCACUUUUGGGAUAUACUGCCCUUCAUGUAUCAGUCUGCACCUCUCACCUGUAAAUAUUCAGUAUUAAUUGUACUGGAUUUAUUGCAAGUCACUUGUGACUGGAACAUUCAAUGUCACCCAUCAGCAGUAUUUUUUAGGGCCUAUUAAAGCCAAGUGGGCACAAUGCAUGUUAAAAUAAUAUACUGUGAAAUGCUUCACAUUAGAUUAAUCAAGUAAGGAUAAAGAAUAAUUCUAAAAGAAAAUAAAACUGUUUCCAUUUAUUAAUUACAAAUUGCAAUAAUAUUGCAUUUGCUAUAUUUGAAAUUACACCAAAUUGCUCAUUAUCAGAUGAAUCUGGUCUUUGGUGUGUAGUAAAUGAAUGUGGUUUGUCUUAAAUGAAUGUUUUCAGGAAAAUAUAUUUAUGAAUAUUAAGUGCACAGAGGAAACAAAUGGUUUCUCAUCCGCAGAAUGAACCCGCUUUGUAAUGUCCUUGAGAAAUGUGUGUGCUCUCACAGUUACAUAAAUCAGCCUUACAUACACAUUUUAAACCUACCUAUUGGCUUCUCUUUUCGCUGAUUACAUUUCAGCUUUCUUUAGUUGUUUUAUUACUGUUGUAGUUCCAUCACACAUUGCUCCCAUGAACAGAAUGGAAGUAUUGAAAGUUUCCAUACAAAGGCUUCCGGCUACGUCAGGAGUCAAUGGCAGUAGCUCCUUGCUGCCUUCCCUCAGCUUGCAUCAGUGGCUCCUCCAUGAAAGAAAAUGCCUUCAAUUAAUGGAAGGAGCAGGUUUAAAUUGCUGUCCAACAACACAGAAACCAGAUUGAUCAAAUCCGACUCCUCUUUUGCAAUGAACAACUGCUUUUUUAAAAGAAUAAUAUUUUUAAAAAACAUUUUUAAAAUGUUUUUGUUGAUUUUUUAGUAUUUACUGUCAGCAUUAUCUGCAAGGCCUAGCCCAAAAAUCAUUUCUUUUAUUUGAGAGAAAGGGGAAGUUAAUUAGUUCAGAUUAUACUAAACUCUUUAAGUGAAAGUUUUUUUUUUCAUGGUAGAGACUUCAUAGAACCUUCUAGGUUGCACAUUAAUUAUCUUUGCCUUGGCUUCAUGCUGCUUUAAUUAUAUUCAUUAUUUCUGUCACUCUUCAAAAUAUCAUAUAUGGAACCUGUGGUCACUUGAUGCAUAACUAUUACUCUUCUCCUGCUGAGUUGCUGGCUUAAGUCCAGGCUGUAGCACAAAUGACUAACGCUGAGAAGUUAAAUAUGGUCCCUAGUUAAUUUAUAUUAAAAAAUAGUCACUUAGCUUUUUCAUUAGCUGGUACAGGUACUUUUUAUGUGUGUGUUCAAGAUGUCAGUGAUAAAGCCUUUGUGACUGUCAUCUCAGAGUGGAUGAAAAACAGGCUGUUGGCUUGCAUGUGUUAUUAAAAGGGACUCACAGUCACUGGUAGACCCAGGCAUUAAAGAAUUCUACACUGCAACCAUGAGUGGCUCUACAUGUCUUCUUAUGUAAAUGUGUCCAUGUAUGCACUGUACAACACAGUCUUCUUUACAGAAGGACACCACUGAGAAAUGGUCUCCAUAGGCCAUAGACCAUAGCCAUCUGGUGACUAAAUUCCAGAGUGAGCUUAUUUUACCACAAGAGGAAGACAAAAGGCCUCCACUGAAUUCAGAUAACCCAUUCCUCAGACCAAUUAAAAGAGUGAUGGUGGGCAGGGGGAAUAAUGUCCUCAUGUGAAUACAUAUUAAUUCUGUAUGAAUCUUUUCCUAAAUAUUUGAAGGUGAAAGCACACUCAGCAUUGUAUCCAAUGGAUCUAUGAAAGUCUUUUCCUUCCUUGUCUAACUCCCUGGACCCUCAGAAAAGUCUAUCCAUAGAGUCAGGGUAACCUACUGAAUGAUGUGCCCUAUGUCUUAUGGCAGUGGUGGCCAAACUUGGCCCUCUAGCUGUUUUGGGACUAAAAUUCCCAUCAUCCCUGACCACUGGUCCUGUUAGCUAGGGAUGAUGGGAGUUGUAGUCCCAAAACAGCUGGAUGGCCAAGUUGGAUGACCACUGUCUUAUGGGAUUGCCUCUCACUCAAAUAACCAAUGGCUCUAACCCUCCAACUUUUCCCUGAUGAAAUCAGGACAUGGUGUCUUUUGGUGUCACACAUGUCAGCUGGGUCACGCAAGAGUGCGGCACCACUGCAAGUGUCGGCUCAUAGCCAUGGACAUUCCAGGAUCAAAUCAGAAGCUGGGAUGGCUUCUGUAAUUCCAGGAAUGUCCUGUUAUUAUGGAGACGGUUUGAGGGUAUAACAAAGCCACAUAGCUUGCUUAAAAAUGCAAAACGAAAUGCAAAAUCAUUACAGUAUAGUGCAAUAGAAACCAGAUCAUUUAUAUUAUUGUAGAAGAAUUUUUUCCUAAAUGCAGAUGCUGUCUUCUUAAUUUUUUAAUGUUUGCCAAUAGUUUCAGUAUCUCCACUCAAAAUCAGAGUGCUAAAUUUUAAAUUUUUAUAUUGAAUGUGAACGUCAUCCUCAAAAUCUGGCAUUUGAAGUUUCCAGCUCAAAGUUGUUACAUUAUCGGCGUUUCCAUGUGCUCUGGCUUCUGUCACGGUGUUCUGUUGUGCCAGACGUGGUUUAGUCAUGCUGGCCAUAUGACCCAGAAAACUGUCUGUGGACAAAUGCUGGCUCCCUCGGCCUGAAGCAAAAUGAGCGUCACACCCCAUCGUUCCCUUUGACUGGACUAAACCAUCCAGGAGUCCUAUACCUUUACCUGUUACAUAUUAUUUACCAAAUUCUAUCAAUUUCCACAUACAUAGUUGCCUUUGACAUCAUGGUUAGUUAACCCCACAUUUCACAUCGUUUCUCAAAUAUCAAGCUUUGAAACAACAUAUUGCUGUAUGUCCAACAGAGAUUUCAAUUGGGUGGGUAGGGAGCAUUUUGUAAAUAUUUAUAUAUUUAGAGAAUAUCUUAUGAAUUUCGGUAGCAAUAUAUACAGAAUUUUGAGGAUGAUUUGGGAAUGUAUUCUUGUUGUAAUUACAUACAUUUGAACUUUGUUGUGAUUUGCACUCAAUUGUGAUUUCACUGUAAAGUUCCCACAGUGCUUAACUGUUCUUUUAUAUUGUAGCUUUGGUGUAAUAGAUGCUACAUCCUGUCCCAAGUGCUCAUGUUAUGGUGCGAGAGGAGUUAGCAUGCAGCCAUUUGCAUAUAAAGUGCUUUGCAAUUUAGAUCUAAUUCAUCCUCACAACUUCUGUCAGAAAAGUAAUUAUGGGUUUCAUUUUACAGACUGGGAAUUAAAGGUGAACAGUGACUUGUCAAAGCCACCUAAUAAGAAAAUGUGAUCUGAGAAACACAUAUUCUGCUUUGGACUUAAAAAAAUAUUGGAGAUUGUGUGGGGC